rnacentral:misc_RNA from 1 species
GAUGAAGAACGUAGUGAAAUGCGAUAAGUAAUGUGAAUUGCAGAAUUCAGUGAAUCAUCGAAUCUUUGAACGCACCUUGCGCCUUUUGGUAUUCCGAAAGGCACACCUGUUUGAGCGUCAUGAAUACCUCAAUCUCCAUCUUUUCUUCGGAUUGAUGGGUGACUUGGAUGUUGAGCCCUGCUGGUAUGCUACAUCAGCUGGCUUUAAACUUAUUAGCCGGCUCUGUACUGGAUCGGUUUGACUCGACGUGAUAAUAUUAUCGUUGAGGAUGCAUGUCUCAUGCAGCCGGAAAGUAUCAAAGCAGCUUCUAGCUUGCCUUUAGUGCACUUUUACAUUUUAGACCUCAGAUCAGGUGGGACUACCCGCUGAACUUAAGCAUAUCAAUAAGCGGAGGA